AUUAGGAAAAGUGAGAAAAAUGAGUCCAAAAGGACUUAGGAGAAAGGAGCAGCACGGGUGAGCUGUUGGGUGUAUGGGUCAGGCUGCAGGACGCGCAGGUGGAAUAAGCGAGCCGUGCGAACCUGCUACUUGGGUUUGGGCUGCGCACGGGUAGGUCGGUGGGCAUGCAACUUGUCUUUUGCGUACAUGCACAUUGCUAAGCACAUAUUGCGCGUGUCCUGCGCACAUGCCCAAGCACACUGGGCAUGUGGAACAACUUGUUUGCACAUGCCUAUGAGCUGCGCGUGUAGCCAGUUUCUUGCGCACUGGUGCACGCAUUAUGGGGCAUACAGGCAU
rnacentral:lncRNA from 1 species